CAACAGGCUUGAGUCUGUACCUAGCAGCUGCCACUUACCAGCUGUGCAAUCUUGGGCCAUGACCUGACCCCUCCGAAUGCUGUAAAAUGGGGAGAAUGAUGUCUACCUCGCGGGACGGUUACGAUGACAAACUGAGACUCGGUUCAUCUAUUCAUUCAUUCAGCAAAUAUUUAAUAAGCAACUCGGAUGAGCCAGACACUGUCUUCAACGGGGGUGUUUAGCGGGGAUAGAGCGCUAACAGAAACAGGUGAUAUAAUACAUGAAGGUGCUUAGGACGGUGCUAGGGACUUAGAACACACUCUAUGAAAAUUCGUUUCCAAGGAAAAACAACCUGCUUCCCCAGAAAGCACACGCCACCGCCACUGCUGCCACCACCAGGACCACAGGACUCCGUUGAGCUCUGGGGGUGGGCAAUCAGGACACUGGCUCUGAUACCCUGUAACACAAAGCAGCCCCAACCCCUGGUUCAUGGAACCACAGGCCGACAGAGCAGGGGGCACCUGUCGUACUCCCCCCGCCCCCCGACAGGGAAAGGAAGACAGGUACUCCUAGUCACAAGGAGAACACUGACAGUGCCCGCUAGAGAGGAGUCGGGGGAGAAAGGACACAGAAUUCGUGCCCUAAGACGUCCAACCAACUCAAAUGAUCAGUUGCUGUUGAAGGCGCUCCUCCAAUGAGGUCUCCUCUGCUCCCUGAUUUGGCGGUUCUUCUGAGCAAAUAUGACAGCCUUUUCUUCUCCGGGCUCCUUUCCGCUCCUCCACGUCCAUCCCCAGAGCCUGGCUCUCCUUCUGCGGUUCCUACACCAGAACCUUCACAGCCAGCACCACCACCACCACCACCACCACCACCACCACCACCACCACCACCCAGUCCCAUUCCUGCAAGUACAUGAUUGCUGCAAAGGUGACAUGAACACCUUGCGAGGAGCACAAUGUUGCUUCUAGAUUGCCGAAGAUGCUUAAGAUCAGUUUUUCCAGGUGGGAAAAUGUUAGAAUAAAUCCGCUGUGCUCUGUGACCA
rnacentral:lncRNA from 1 species